rnacentral:rRNA from 1 species
GACGAACGCUGGCGGCGUGCCUAAUACAUGCAAGUAGAACGCUGAAGGAGGAGCUUGCUUCUCUGGAUGAGUUGCGAACGGGUGAGUAACGCGUAUGUAACCUGCCUGGUAGCGGGGGAUAACUAUUGGAAACGAUAGCUAAUACCGCAUAAUAGUAGAUGUUGCAUGACAUUUGCUUAAAAGGUGCAAUUGCAUCACUACCAGAUGGACCUGCGUUGUAUUAGCUAGUUGGUGGGGUAACGGCUCACCAAGGCGACGAUACAUAGCCGACCUGAGAGGGGGAUCGGCCACACUGGGACUGGGACACGGCCCAGACUCCUACGGGAGGCAGCAGUAGGGAAUCUUCGGCAAUGGACGGAAGUCUGACCGAGCAACGCCGCGUGAGUGAAGAAGGUUUUCGGAUCGUAAAGCUCUGUUGUAAGGGAAGAACGAGUGUGAGAGUGGAAAGUUCACACUGUGACGGUAUCUUACCAGAAAGGGACGGCUAACUACGUG